AGAUGGCGACCGGCGCACGGGUGAGUAACACGUAUCCAACCUGCCGAUAACUCGGGGAUAGCCUUUCGAAAGAAAGAUUAAUACCCGAUGGCAUAAUAGAACCGCAUGGUUUGAUUAUUAAAGAAUUUCGGUUAUCGAUGGGGAUGCGUUCCAUUAGGCAGUUGGUGGGGGUAACGGCCCACCAAACCUUCGAUGGAUAGGGGUUCUGAGAGGAAGGUCCCCCACAUUGGAACUGAGACACGGUCCAAACUCCUACGGGAGGCAGCAUG
rnacentral:rRNA from 1 species